GCCUCAGUAGCUCAGUUGGUAGAAAAUUCAUGCCGAUCUGAAUAUUUCGACGGUAAAGCGUUGCCCUGGUAAGGCAAAGGUCCCGGGAUCGUUCCCCGGCUGAGGCUCCA
rnacentral:tRNA from 1 species